rnacentral:tRNA from 1 species
CGUAGUAUAGCUUAAUUUAAAGCACCUCGCUUACACCGAGAAAAUGUCAGUGAAAACCAGACUACUUCGA